GAACAAAUUAUGGUUCCAAUUUAGCUCCAUAUUGCAUGGUGAACUUUUGGUUUGAAACAAGAUUUAUAUUAACCAAAUAAAAUGUGACGUAAUGAAGUUACUCAAGUAAAAGUUUAAACUACAGUAAUAAAACACUCAUAAAAGCUUUUUUUUUUGCACUAGUUAAAUAUAACUAUUAAUGAAUACUGGUAGCGUCCAUAUUUUCUUUUCUAAAUAGCCGUUCUUCUAAAUGUCCCAGUCUGAAGGGGUUUUUAACCAGGUAGGUCUUUACAGAAUGUCACUCUCAUUUAUGUUUUUUCAUUAAGUGUCUUCUUCGCUGCUCUUUUUGACACCUGGUCACCAUGGAAACGACGUCCCUGAAGCUUUCUACGCAUCAGCUGCAGCUUUCUCCAUGACGACUUGCUAAGUGACUGAUUUGGGUGUAAUGUCCCUCGCAGCAACAUUCUUACCAGUGAAGCUGUUGUGAUGCAAAGAGAUAAUCAGGAAGUUGGAGUGGCGUAAAGUCUGUGUGCGCACAGCUGUGGAGCCGAGGAGGAGUCACAAAGGAGUUAUGAUUUUCUUCUUCUGUGGUUUUUGAGUGAUUUUAAAGGUCAAAACAAACAGCUAUUUGUCUGCAGAUGUCACUUGUGCAUCAGAUUUACUGGAGUACAAGAACAGAACCUUUGUAGGUAAAAAAAAAAAAAAAAGAAUAAUUACAUGAAAUUUUGAAUGCGUUAAAAUUUAUGUAAUUAAUAAAAAAAUAACAUGUUAAUGUCAUGACCAUAACUAAAACAAAAUUCUUAGAUUUUCACCCAACGUUCACAACAAAUACGGAUCGUCUAUCAAAAAAAAAAA